GAUGAAGAACGUAGCGAAAUGCGAUAAGUAAUGUGAAUUGCAGAAUUCAGUGAAUCAUCGAAUCUUUGAACGCACCUUGCGCCCUUUGGCCAUUCCGAAGGGCAUGCCUGUUUGAGUAUCAUGAACACCUCAACUCUUCAUGGUUUUCCAUGAUGAGCUUGGACUUUGGGGGUCUUGCUGGCCUACGGUCGGCUCCUCUAAAAUAAAUCAGCUUGCCAGUGUUUGGUGGGUAUCGCAGGUGUGAUAACUAUCUACACUUGUGGUUUUCCACCAAGUAACCUUCAGCAGUGGAGGUUCACUGGAGCUCACAGAUGUGUCUCUCCUCAGUGAGGGACAGCUCUUUGAAUGUUUGAUCUCAAAUCAGGUAGGACUACCCGCUGAACUUAAGCAUAUCAAUAAGCGGAGGA
rnacentral:misc_RNA from 1 species